UCUAAUAUGGCAGACUAGUGCAAUGGCUUUAAGAUCCAUUUAUAAAGAACUCAAAAUCUUUUUUUAGAA
rnacentral:tRNA from 1 species